GAUGAACGCUGGCGGCGUGCCUAACACAUGCAAGUCGAGCGCGAUUAAGUGGAGUGGAGACUUCGGUCAAAGCGAAGCUUAUGAAAGCGGCGGACGGGUGAGUAACGCGUGGGCAACCUGCCCCAUACAGAGGGAUAGCCACUGGAAACGGUGAUUAAUACCUCAUGAGUCAGUAACAUCGCAUGAUGUAGCUGACAAAGAUUUAUCGGUAUGGGAUGGGCCCGCGUCUGAUUAGCUAGUUGGUGAGGUAACGGCUCACCAAGGCGACGAUCAGUAGCCGACCUGAGAGGGUGAUCGGCCACACUGGAACUGAGACACGGGUCCAGACUCCUACGGGAGGCAGCAGUGGGGAAUAUUGCACAAUGGGCGCAAGCCUGAUGCAGCAACGCCGCGUGAGUGAUGAAGGCCUCGGUUGUAAAC
rnacentral:rRNA from 1 species